AUGCUCCCCCAGCCAGGGAUGACAGCAGCACCCUACCCAACACAGUACCCACCACCUUACUCGGCCCAGCCCAUGGGCCCGCCGGCCUACCAGGAGACGCUGGCUGGAGGAGCAACCGCGCCAUACCCCACGAGCCAGCCUCCUUACAACCCGGCCUACAUAUAUGCCCCGAAGGCGGCUCCCGGAGCGUGCCCCGGCCUCUCCGGCUGCCACUAGAUUAUGUUGUGUGUGUGUGUGAGUGGUGUGCAAGCACGGUUCCUUACGCCCCGUGCGUGCUGUGUGUGUCCUGCCUGUAUAUGUGGCUUCCUUUGAUGCUGACGAGGUGGGGAACGUUCCUUGCCAGAGUGGGCUGGGACCAGACUUUCUUCUCUUCCUCACCUGAAAUUAUGCUUCCUAAAAUCUCAAGCCAAACUCAAAGAAUGGGGUGGGGAGCACCCUGUGAGGUGGCCCCUGAGAGGUGGGGGGCUCUCCAUGGCACAUCUGGAGUUCUUUUCCAGCUUACCCUAGGGU
rnacentral:lncRNA from 1 species